CACACGACUCUCGGCAACGGAUAUCUCGGCUCUCGCAUCGAUGAAGAACGUAGCAAAAUGCGAUACCUGGUGUGAAUUGCAGAAUCCCACGAACCAUCGAGCCUUUGAACGCAAGUUGCGCCCGAGGCCACUCGGCCGAGGGCACGCCUGCCUGGGCGUCACGC
rnacentral:rRNA from 1 species